rnacentral:lncRNA from 1 species
UGAGCAGCUGCUCUAAAUCAUUUGCARGUUCGCCAUGAGUGGUUCAGCAUUAACCUGCUAAGACUUUAUGGAGAAAAGGCUGGGUCCAGGUGUCAGAACGGUUUCUGUACAGACUUGCCUGUGUAGUGCCAAAGAGUCUCACCUUCCCUUUUGCAAACACUGAAUAUCACGCAGGAGGAGGUUUUUAAAAAUUCCCCUUUUAUUUGUUAGGCUUUCUAAAGAAAAAAGAAAAAGGAAAUUUCCUCUCUUCUCUAUCCAUUUUUAAAUGUAAGCAGUUAAACAGAGGAUUCCUGGGAUGGAGUUAUCAGUGUGAACAGGACGGGGUCGGACCCAUGUUUGGGAGCUGUCGGACACAUCAGAGGGACUGGGCUCAGUGGGCCACGGUGCUCCCAGAUUGGCUUCGUUUGGAGAACAUUAGUUUGGGCUCAGCUGAUGGGAUGUUUCGUUGCUCUUCGCCGACCUGUCGUACAGCUGAGGCCGCAGGAGCUCUAGGCAGGCAAGUUUUCUUCUCUCCUGUCUCAGGCAAAGGCAAAGCAUUGCCAAGGUGAUCGUUGCUUCACUUUGCUUGGGUUCCCUGUCCCCUACUACAAUUAAAAAAAAAAAAAGGAUGGUGUAUCAUCAUCCUUUGGCGGUGAUGAUGGUUGGAAAUAUCAUUUUCCGACACCCCCAGCUUUGGUCUUCGAUCAGAACUGAAGGAAGAAGCUGUAGGAGGUCAUCUGUGUGCCACUGUGUUUAACGUGACCCCAGCCAUGCUCCCCGGGUGGGAGGCCGGUCGGCGAAUAACUGCAUGAAGACGAAGGGAGGGCUGUGCAGUCCAGUGGUGAGGGCCCCCUCCCAGGAUCCCCGUCUCUCUGCCAUAGGUCUGUGCCUCUGGYGCAACGGUUGGCCCCUUGGCCCUGUCGUUCGGUAUUUGGGGAAUUCGUGACGGACGUAGAUUCGGACCUGCCGCAGCAGAGGAACAGGUUUCCCGCAUCCCCAGCGAAGGGCCGAACCACCGAACAAAAUUAAACUCUAAU